rnacentral:tRNA from 2 species
CGGGGCAUAGCGCAGUCUGGUAGCGCAUCUGCUUUGGGAGCAGAGGGUCGGGGGUUCAAAUCCCUCUGCCCCGACCA